AUUGAACGCUGGCGGCAGGCCUUACACAUGCAAGUCGAGCGAGAGGCGGACGGGUGAGUAAUGUACGGGGAUCUGCGUGAUGGCGGGGGAUACCUACUGGAAACGAUAGCUACUACCGCAUACAAUCAGCUGAACCCAUAUGGGAUUUGCUAGUUGGUAAGGUAACGGCGUACCCAGGCGACGAUCCGUAGCUGGUCGGAGAGGACGUACAGCCACACUGGGACUGAGACACGGCCCCGACUCCUACGGGAGGCAGCAGUGGGGAAUAUUGCACAAUGGGCGCAAGCCUGAUGCAGCCAUGCCGCGUGUAUGAAGAAGGCCUUCGGGUUGUAAAGUACUUUCAGUCGGGAGGCGUUACCGACAGAAGAAGCACCGGCUAACUCCGUGCCAGCAGCCGCGGUAAUAC
rnacentral:rRNA from 1 species